rnacentral:rRNA from 1 species
GGGGAAUAUUGGACAAUGGGCGCAAGCCUGAUCCAGCCAUGCCGCGUGAGUGAUGAAGGCCCUAGGGUUGUAAAGCUCUUUUGUGCGGGAAGAUAAUGACGGUACCGCAAGAAUAAGCCCCGGCUAACUUCGUGCCAGCAGCCGCGGUAAUACGGAGGGGGCUAGCGUUGUUCGGAAUUACUGGGCGUAAAGCGCGCGUAGGCGGCUUUGUAAGUCAGAGGUGAAAGCCUGGAGCUCAACUCCAGAACUGCCUUUGAAACUACAUCGCUUGAAUCAUGGAGAGGUUAGUGGAAUUCCGAGUGUAGAGGUGAAAUUCGUAGAUAUUCGGAAGAACACCAGUGGCGAAGGCGACUAACUGGACAUGUAUUGACGCUGAGGUGCGAAAGCGUGGGGAGCAAA